AGAAGAGAUCAUAAAGUUAUUACCACAGCCAAUGGAGUGUUUGCUAUUGGAGGAAGUAUUGUUACAGCAAAGGUAGAACAGCUUGAUUUAGACACUUUGACCUGGAGUGUCGUUUCAGACAUUUGGACAGGUUUCAGGCAAGGAGUGGUUGCUGUUCCAGAUGGGGAUUUUUGAACACAAGCUAUUCUUAUAACUCAUAUAAAGGAAACAAGAUAUUGAAGAUUCUCACUGACUUUUCUAGAAAAGAAUUUUUGCAUUUUAUAGAAUAAAAUUGCUUGCUUAGACAAAUCCUGAUUCAUAUUCAUGGAUUUGUUAUUUAUGUAUUUACGUAAUUUAUCUAAAUAAAAUGUGU